AUUUUUUUUUUAAUUUCUUAUCUGAUGCAAUUUAGUAAACGAAGCCAUCGAUUUUAUCCAUUUAAUUGGUGGAUGAAUAUCUUGAUUUCGUUUUAGUUGAAAAAUUUUCCGCAUUGGAAUUGAAGAUGGGAAGUGAAGAAUUUAAAAGAAUUUUGUGCUCAAAUUAUUGCAACUUGAACAUCACUCAGGAGGAAAAAAAAAAGGGGAAAAAUAUUGACCAAGAUAAUUGUUUACAUAAUGCUUUUCGACCGCUUCAAUACCUAACGUUUGGAUUUUGAAAUGCUGGAGUUUGAAAUGGGGCACUUGUAGGUGUCAAUUGUUCAUAUUUAUGGAAAUAGGAAUUAUUCGUGAUAAAACUGAAUUCAUGGAAAAAGAGUCAUUUUAAACUUUCAAUACUCAGGAAUGAAAUGAGUAGUGUCUUGGUAAUUGUUCUACUAGUAUAUUACUUCAUUAAUGUGAUUUGUUGCCCAAACAAUGGAGGCAAUGUUUCUUCAUUUUUGUGUUUGCGUUUAUGCAUACCUUAGAGAUGAUUUGUAGAUAUUUAAUGGAUAGGUAGAACAUUAAGUGAAUAUGCAUGUGAUUCUGUGCUUUUAAAUGCAUAAUUGUGUAGCAUUUUAUGGACUAAGCACUUGUGAGUAGAAUUUUUUUCUCUGCCCUUAUAUAAUCAUUGAAUGAUGCUAUUGAAUGUAUGUUUGAAACUGUGUUAUUGACAUCCGUAAUGCCAUGCAUACAUGUAAGAGCAUGUUGAUCCUUAUGUUAUUGUGUUGGAUUUGAAAUUUUUGUACA
rnacentral:misc_RNA from 1 species